GCUCGACCUCGCCUUGGCUGGGUGAGCUCGGGCUCGCCCAGAUCUGGCGAGCCCGAGCUCGCCCAGCCAAGGCGAGGUCGAGC
rnacentral:pre_miRNA from 1 species